CCUACGGGAGGCAGCAGCGAGUAAUAUUGGUCAAUGGACGCGAGCCUGAACCAGCCAACUAGCGUGAAGGAUGACUGCCCUACGGGUUGUACACUUCUUUUAUACAGGAAUAAAGUGAGGCACGUGUGCCUUUUUGUAUGUACUUUAUGACUAAGGAUCGGCUACCUCCGUGCCAGCAGCCGCGGUACUACGGAGGAUCCGAGCGUUAUCCGGAUUUAUGGGGUUUAAAGGGAGCGUAGAUGGGUUGUUAAGUCAGUUGUGAACGUUUGCGGCUCAACCGUAAAAUUGCAAUUGAUACUGGCAGUCUUGAGUACAGUUGAGGUAGGCGGAAUUCGUGGUGUAGCGGUGAAAUGCUUAGAUAUCACGAAGAACUCCGAUUGCGAAGGCAGCUUACUAAACUGCCACUGACAUUGAUGCUCGAAAGUGUGGGUAUCAAACAGGAUUAGAUACCCUUGUAGUC
rnacentral:rRNA from 1 species